GACGAACGCUGGCGGCGUGGAUUAGGCAUGCAAGUCGAACGGUAACAGGUCUUCGGAUGCUGACGAGUGGCGAACGGGUGAGUAAUACAUCGGAACGUGCCCGAUCGUGGGGGAUAACGGAGCGAAAGCUUUGCUAAUACCGCAUACGAUCUACGGAUGAAAGCAGGGGACCGCAAGGCCUUGCGCGGACGGAGCGGCCGAUGGCAGAUUAGGUAGUUGGUGGGAUAAAAGCUUACCAAGCCGACGAUCUGUAGCUGGUCUGAGAGGACGACCAGCCACACUGGGACUGAGACACGGCCCAGACUCCUACGGGAGGCAGCAGUGGGGAAUUUUGGACAAUGGGCGGAAGCCUGAUCCAGCCAUGCCGCGUGAGUGAAGAAGGCCUUCGGGUUGUAAAGACUCUUUUCGGCGGGGAAGAAAGUUGCUUGGGUUAAUACCCUGAGUAGAUGACGGUACCCGAAUAAGAAGCACCGGCUAACUACGUGCCAGCAGCCGCGGUAAGCUCGU
rnacentral:rRNA from 1 species